rnacentral:piRNA from 2 species
UAAGAGAACACAAAUGCCAGCCCAGA